AUGCUCUGUUCUUUCUUGCUUUCAGAAUCUCCGUUCAACAGCAAGGUCAUGGCAGAAACCAUUGAUCUAACAGGGGAUGGAGGCGUUCUUAAGACGGUGAUCAGAAAAGCAAAGGAUGAUGCUAUAAGCCCAUCCGAUAGCCUUCCAUUGGUUGAUGUUCAUUAUGAAGGGACACUUGCUGAAAAUGGCGAAGUUUUUGACACCACACAUGAAGACAAUUCUAUUUUUUCAUUUGAAGUUGGCCAGGGAGCUGUCAUUAAAGCAUGGGAUAUAGCCUUAAGAACUAUGAAAGUUGGCGAGAUUGCAAAAAUAACAUGCAGGCCGGAAUAUGCGUAUGGAAGUCCAGGCUCGCCGCCAGAGAUACCAGCGAAUGCAACACUCAUUUUUGAGGUGGAAUUAGUUGCUUGCAAGCCAAGGAAAGGUUCAAGUCUGGGCAGUGUAUCUGAUGAGAAAGCCAGGCUAGAGGAGCUUAAGAAACAGCGGGAGCUGGCUGCUGCCACCAAAGAGGAAGAGAAGAAGAAGAGGGAGGAGGCAAAGGCCGCGGCAGCGGCUCGUGUGCAAGCCAAACUUGACGCCAAGAAGGGCAAGGGAAAAGGAAAGGGCAAAUAG
rnacentral:rRNA from 1 species